rnacentral:rRNA from 1 species
AGAGUUUGAUCAUGGCUCAGGACGAACGCUGGCGGCGUGCUUAACACAUGCAAGUCGAACGAUGAAGCCCUUCGGGGUGGAUUAGUGGCGAACGGGUGAGUAACACGUGGGCAAUCUGCCCUUCACUCUGGGACAAGCCCUGGAAACGGGGUCUAAUACCGGAUAACACUCUGUCCCGCAUGGGACGGGGUUGAAAGCUCCGGCGGUGAAGGAUGAGCCCGCGGCCUAUCAGCUUGUUGGUGGGGUAAUGGCCUACCAAGGCGACGACGGGUAGCCGGCCUGAGAGGGCGACCGGCCACACUGGGACUGAGACACGGCCCAGACUCCUACGGGAGGCAGCAGUGGGGAAUAUUGCACAAUGGGCGAAAGCCUGAUGCAGCGACGCCGCGUGAGGGAUGACGGCCUUCGGGUUGUAAACCUCUUUCAGCAGGGAAGAAGCGAAAGUGACGGUACCUGCAGAAGAAGCGCCGGCUAACUACGUGCCAGCAGCCGCGGUAAUACGUAGGGCGCAAGCGUUGUCCGGAAUUAUUGGGCGUAAAGAGCUCGUAGGCGGCUUGUCACGUCGGAUGUGAAAGCCCGGGGCUUAACCCCGGGUCUGCAUUCGAUACGGGCUAGCUAGAGUGUGGUAGGGGAGAUCGGAAUUCCUGGUGUAGCGGUGAAAUGCGCAGAUAUCAGGAGGAACACCGGUGGCGAAGGCGGAUCUCUGGGCCAUUACUGACGCUGAGGAGCGAAAGCGUGGGGAGCGAACAGGAUUAGAUACCCUGGUAGUCCACGCCGUAAACGUUGGGAACUAGGUGUUGGCGACAUUCCACGUCGUCGGUGCCGCAGCUAACGCAUUAAGUUCCCCGCCUGGGGAGUACGGCCGCAAGGCUAAAACUCAAAGGAAUGACGGGGCCCGCACAAGCAGCGGAGCAUGUGGCUUAAUUCGACGCAACGCGAAGAACCUUACCAAGGCUUGACAUAUACCGGAAAGCAUCAGAGAUGGUGCCCCCCUUGUGGUCGGUAUACAGGUGGUGCAUGGCUGUCGUCAGCUCGUGUCGUGAGAUGUUGGGUUAAGUCCCGCAACGAGCGCAACCCUUGUUCUGUGUUGCCAGCAUGCCCUUCGGGGUGAUGGGGACUCACAGGAGACUGCCGGGGUCAACUCGGAGGAAGGUGGGGACGACGUCAAGUCAUCAUGCCCCUUAUGUCUUGGGCUGCACACGUGCUACAAUGGCCGGUACAAUGAGCUGCGAUGCCGCGAGGCGGAGCGAAUCUCAAAAAGCCGGUCUCAGUUCGGAUUGGGGUCUGCAACUCGACCCCAUGAAGUCGGAGUUGCUAGUAAUCGCAGAUCAGCAUUGCUGCGGUGAAUACGUUCCCGGGCCUUGUACACACCGCCCGUCACGUCACGAAAGUCGGUAACACCCGAAGCCGGUGGCCCAACCCCUUGUGGGAGGGAGCUGUCGAAGGUGGGACUGGCGAUUGGGACGAAGUCGUAACAAGGUAACCGUA